ACACGUAAGCAACCUGCCUAUUAGAGGGGAAUAACACCGAGAAAUCACUGCUAAAACCGCAUAUGCCGUGAACAUCGCAUGAUGAAAACGGGAAAAGAGCAAUCUGCUAAUAGAUGGGCUUGCGUCUGAUUAGCUAGUUGGUGUGGUAAAGGCAUACCAAGGCAACGAUCAGUAGCCGGACUGAGAGGUUGAACGGCCACAUUGGGACUGAGAUACGGCCCAGACUCCUACGGGAGGCAGCAGUCGGGAAUAUUGCGCAAUGGAGGAAACUCUGACGCAGUGACGCCGCGUAUGGGAAGAAGGUUUUCGGAUUGUAAACCAUUUUAGACAAGGAAGAAACAAGACAGUACUUGUAGAAUAAGCUCCGGCUAACUACGUGCCAGCAGCCGCGGUAAUACGUAGGGAGCAAGCGUUAUCCGGAUUUAUUGGGUGUAAAGGGUGCGUAGACGGGAAGGUAAGUUAGUUGUGAAAUCCCUCGGCUCAACUGAGGAACUGCGACUAAAACUGCUUUUCUUGAGUGCUGGAGAGGAAAGUGGAAUUCCUAGUGUAGCGGUGAAAUGCGUAGAUAUUAGGAGGAACACCAGUGGCGAAGGCGACUUUCUGGACAGUAACUGACGUUGAGG
rnacentral:rRNA from 1 species